ACUUCUCAUAAACAACCAAUGCAACCAUUUUGCUGGAGCCAUUACAACAUAAUAAAGAUUAUCUCACAUGUUGCAGGACAGAACAUUUAACUAUUCAGUCUCCACACUCCAUCACUAUCCAGAUAGUUGAAACAGCAGCUACACUAAACCUUCCUGAGCAGCAGAAAAAUCCUCUGAUCCAGCUCGAAAUUUGCCGCAUUUGACGGAUCGCCCCUCAGCAUCAUCAGAAGACCUCCAAAGGAAGCAUACAUCUCCACUUUCACAUUAGGUCCACUGGCAGACUCUUCAGAGAUUUUAAACAGCUUUCCAUGCAUGACAUACUCAAA
rnacentral:misc_RNA from 1 species